rnacentral:pre_miRNA from 1 species
GUAGUACUCCCUCCGUCCCAAAAUUCUUGUCUUAGAUUUGUUUAGAUACGGAUGUAUCUAAUACUAAAACGUGACUUGAUACAUCUGUAUUUAGACAAAUCUAAGACAAGAAUUUUAGGACGGAGGGAGUAGUAC